CACAGGUCCUUUGCUUCCUCCUGCAGCACAUCCUGGAGCCUGACUCCUGCACAUGGCGGUAGAAAUAGUAACACUGGAUGCUCCAUGGUGAAGGAUUGUCAGAGGAAGAGGAGGACACGCCCCGCCUGAGUUCCUACAAUAUAGGAUCCGCUCAGUGGAUAUCUUCUAUAUAAGAUCCUUCUCUUGAUUGACCCAACAAGAAUGGAUAGAGACAAGGAUAAGAUGGCGGAGAGUAUAAUAAAUCUCACCCUAGAGAUCCUCUUCCGGCUUACUGUAGAGGGCUACACAGUAGUGAAGAAGACCUCUAGUGAGCGCUGUCAGGCCCCUGUGUCUGAAGGAUGGGGAAGAACCCUGAGCCCAAUCAUGGAGCCUCCACCUCACUCCCUGAUACACGAGGAAAUCAAUAAAGAGAAGAUCCUAGAACUCACCAACAAGAUGAUUGAGCUGCUGACUGGAGAGGUUCUUAUAAGGUGUCAGGAUGUCGACGUCUAUUUCUCCAUGGAGGAGUGGGAGUAUUUAGAAGGACACACAGAUCAGUACAAGGACAUUCUGAUGGAGGAUCACCGGCCCCUCACACCACCAGGUAAUAGACAUGACUAAAGGCAUCCUCUCAUUAUCUUUAUGUAAGGAAUGAAUUCAGUCACUGGAUGUGUUUCCUACAGUUAAGGAAGAGAGAACAACACCGGAGAGAUAUACCAGUCCUCUCCUUCCACAGGAUGGUUCAGAAGAAGAUCACAAUGUCCCACAGGAUGAUAAGCUUGUGAAUCUGGGUGAAGAUCUGAACAAUAUUAAUCCUACAGAGACAUAUGUGAGGGGUGAUGAGCAGAGUACAGAGGACAUUUCUACAGAUAACCGCCCAGGUGAGUAGUGACCACUAAGUAAUGCAGAGAAGACCCAUUUUAUGUUACAUUUUUAGGUUCUGUCUUCUGUCUGUUUUUUCAGCGUUAUAUUCACUGAUUCAGCUAAAAUUCUAAAUAAAUAUGGAUGGAAAUGUGACAGCGUUAUAGGUGAUAUACAGUAUGUAUAUGAUGUAUAUAGUCCAUCCUCAGGAGAGGUCAUUAAUAUCAGAUAGGCAGCCUUGUUCUUCAGAUGUAUGGAGAGGACACAGUGCUCUGCGCGCUCUUAGGCCUCUUCCUGGCCAUGCAAUGUGACUUUCAUCGGUCAUAAGGCCUAGGCACAGAAUACUCCUAUUCGAGUGAAUGGGUCUGAGCUGCAAUGCCAAGCACAGCUACUAUUCAACAGAUGGCGCUGUGCUUGGUAAGCUGUGAGGAGGCUUUGUAUUAACUGGACCUCCAGUGAGCACUGAGGCUUCCUCAGACAGCUGAUUGAUGGGGGUGCAGGGACCGGACCUCUGCUGAUCUCAUAUUGAUGACCUAUGCUGAGAAAAAUCUUUGUUUCCCUUUAAUGAUGAAAAACGGAAACAAAAUAUGCAAAACAUCUUGCUUUAUUCAGUAUUGAGUAUGAGAGCCAAGUGCAUAAAUACAUUCACUUACACGCCUUGGCAUCCUACCAAUGAGGUUACUAAUGUCUGAGGAAUGUUCUGCCAUGCUGAAUGCAUUUGGGCAAGCAAAUCAUCAAGAUCUGCUGCUGGUACCUACA